rnacentral:rRNA from 1 species
GACGAACGCUGGCGGCGUGCUUAACACAUGCAAGUCGAACGGAAAGGCCCUGCUUUUGUGGGGUGCUCGAGUGGCGAACGGGUGAGUAACACGUGAGUAACCUGCCCUUGACUUUGGGAUAACUUCAGGAAACUGGGGCUAAUACCGGAUAGGAGCUCCUGCUGCAUGGUGGGGGUUGGAAAGUUUCGGCGGUUGGGGAUGGACUCGCGGCUUAUCAGCUUGUUGGUGGGGUAGUGGCUUACCAAGGCUUUGACGGGUAGCCGGCCUGAGAGGGUGACCGGCCACAUUGGGACUGAGAUACGGCCCAGACUCCUACGGGAGGCAGCAGUGGGGAAUAUUGCACAAUGGGCGGAAGCCUGAUGCAGCAACGCCGCGUGCGGGAUGACGGCCUUCGAGUUGUAAACCGCUUUCGCCUGUGACGAAGCGUGAGUGACGGUAAUGGGUAAAGAAGCACCGGCUAACUACGUGCCAGCAGCCGCGGUGAUACGUAGGGUGCGAGCGUUGUCCGGAUUUAUUGGGCGUAAAGGGCUCGUAGGUGGUUGAUCGCGUCGGAAGUGUAAUCUUGGGGCUUAACCCUGAGCGUGCUUUCGAUACGGGUUGACUUGAGGAAGGUAGGGGAGAAUGGAAUUCCUGGUGGAGCGGUGGAAUGCGCAGAUAUCAGGAGGAACACCAGUGGCGAAGGCGGUUCUCUGGGCCUUUCCUGACGCUGAGGAGCGAAAGCGUGGGGAGCGAACAGGCUUAGAUACCCUGGUAGUCCACGCUGUAAACGGUGGGUACUAGGUGUGGGGUCCAUUCCACGGGUUCCGUGCCGUAGCUAACGCUUUAAGUACCCCGCCUGGGGAGUACGGCCGCAAGGCUAAAACUCAAAGGAAUUGACGGGGCCCCGCACAAGCGGCGGAGCAUGCGGAUUAAUUCGAUGCAACGCGUAGAACCUUACCUGGGUUUGACAUGGAUCGGGAGUGCUCAGAGAUGGGUGUGCCUCUUUUGGGGUCGGUUCACAGGUGGUGCAUGCCUGUCGUCAGCUCGUGUCGUGAGAUGUUGGGUUAAGUCCCGCAACGAGCGCAACCCUUGUUCACUGUUGCCAGCACGUUAUGGUGGGGACUCAGUGGAGACCGCCGGGGUCAACUCGGAGGAAGGUGGGGAUGACGUCAAGUCAUCAUGCCCCUUAUGUCCAGGGCUUCACGCAUGCUACAAUGGCUGGUACAGAGAGUGGCGAGCCUGUGAGGGUGAGCGAAUCUCGGAAAGCCGGUCUCAGUUCGGAUUGGGGUCUGCAACUCGACCUCAUGAAGUCGGAGUCGCUAGUAAUCGCAGAUCAGCAACGCUGCGGUGAAUACGUUCCCGGG